GGAAGUAAAAGUCGUAACAAGGUUUCUGUAGGUGAACCUGCAGAAGGAUCAUUAGUGAAUUUACUAUGCGGGAUCGUGUUGCACGCUCGGAUUCGUCUGAUGCUGUACGCACACCCGACUUUUUAUACACUUUUGUAUACACCUGUGCAUUCGUGUCGUGUGCGCAUGGGCAACCGUGCGUGCUCACACACACACAUUUAUAAACACAUUUUGGUUAUGAACGGAAAAGUAAUCUUAAAACAAUAGAAAACUUUUGACAACGGAUCUCUUGGUUCUCCCAUCGAUGAAGAACGCAGCGAAAUGCGAUAAGUAAUGUGAAUUGCAGAAUUCAGUGAAUCAUCGAAUCUUUGAACGCAUCUUGCGCUCCUUGGUAUUCCUCGGAGCAUGCCUGUUUGAGUGUCGUGAAUUUCUCUACACUUUGGUUUUUUUUAAAGCCUAAAGUAUGGGUCCUUGGGCUUGGUGAUCGCGUGCGUCGUGUGCACUUACAGCAAUGUAAGUGUGCUCGCACUCACACAUACAUCCCACCUUGCCUUAAAUAGAUGAGCUGGACGACCAGUUGGGUUGCUAAGUUUUGGCAUUAACCCGCUUCAUACGGCGUCGGCUUCUAAUCACACACACGCCUAACAACGUGUAUUUACAUGUUCUCUGGCCUCAAAUCAGGUAGGACUACCCGCUGAACUUAAGCAUAUCAAUAAGCGGAGGA
rnacentral:rRNA from 1 species